rnacentral:rRNA from 1 species
CCUGAACGCUGGCGGCGUGGCUAAGACAUGCAAGUCGUACGGUGUAGCAAUACACAGUGGCGAACGGGUGAGUAAUGUAUCGCUAAUGUGCCCCGGACUUUGGGUAGUAGCCGACCGAAAGGGACGGGUAAUACCAGAUGAGACCACGAACAGGCAUCUGUUUGUGCUCAAAGGUCCGCCGGUCUGGGAGCAGGCGAUAUCGUAUCAGCUAGUUGGUAGGGUAACGGCCUACCAAGGCGACGACGCGUAGCCGGACUGAGAGGUUGACCGGCCACAUCGGGACUGAGACACUGCCCGGACUCCUACGGGGGCGUGCAGUAACGAAUCUUCCGCAAUGCACGAAGUGUGACGGAGCGACGCCGCGUGUGGGACGAA